GUGGGGAAUAUUGGACAAUGGGGGGAACCCUGAUCCAGCCAUGCCGCGUGUGUGAAGAAGGCCUUUUGGUUGUAAAGCACUUUAAGCGAGGAGGAGGCUACCGAGAUUAAUACUCUUGGAUAGUGGACGUUACUCGCAGAAUAAGCACCGGCUAACUCUGUGCCAGCAGCCGCGGGAAUACAGAGGGUGCAAGCGUUAAUCGGAUUUACUGGGCGUAAAGCGCGCGAAGGUGGCCAAUUAAGUCAAAUGUGAAAUCCCCGAGCUUAACUUGGGAAUUGCAUUCGAUACUGGUUGGCUAGAGUAUGGGGGAGGAUGGUAGAAUUCCAGGUGUAGCGGUGAAAUGCGUAGAGAUCUGGAGUAAUACCGAUGGCGAAGGCAGCCAUCUGGCCUAAUACUGACACUGAGGUGCGAAAGCAUGGGGAGCAAACAGGAUUAGAUACCCUGGUAGUCC
rnacentral:rRNA from 1 species